rnacentral:tRNA from 1 species
GUGUGUAGCUCAGUGGUAGAGCACUUGCCUAGUAUGUACAAGGCCCUGGGUUCAAUCCUCAGCACCACA